AGUGAACGCUGGCGGUAGGCCUAACACAUGCAAGUCGAACGGCAGCACAGGAGAGCUUGCUCUCUGGGUGGCGAGUGGCGGACGGGUGAGGAAUACAUCGGAAUCUACUCUGUCGUGGGGGAUAACGUAGGGAAACUUACGCUAAUACCGCAUACGACCUACGGGUGAAAGCAGGGGACCUUCGGGCCUUGCGCGAUUGAAUGAGCCGAUGUCGGAUUAGCUAGUUGGCGGGGUAAAGGCCCCCCAAGGCGACGAUCCGCAGCUGGUCUGAGAGGAGGAUCGGCCACACGGGAACUGAGACACGGUCCGGACUCCUACGGGAGGCAGCAGAGGGGAGUAUUGGACAAUGGGCGCAAGCCUGAUCCAGCCAUACCGCGUGGGUGAAGAAGGCCUUCGGGUUGUAAAGCCCUUUUGUUGGGAAAGAAAUCCAGCUGGCUAAUACCCGGUUGGGAUGACGGUACCCAAAGAAUAAGCACCGGCUAACUUCGUGCCAGCCGCCGCCGUAA
rnacentral:rRNA from 1 species